rnacentral:rRNA from 1 species
UACAAAGGGGGCUAGCGUUGCUCGGAAUCACUGGGCGUAAAGCGCACGUAGGCGGGUCUUUAAGUCAGGGGUGAAAUCCUGGAGCUCAACUCCAGAACUGCCUUUGAUACUGAGGAUCUCGAGUCCGGGAGAGGUGAGUGGAACUCCGAGUGUAGAGGUGAAAUUCGUAGAUAUUCGGAAGAACACCAGUGGCGAAGGCGGCUCACUGGCCCGGUACUGACGCUGAUGUGCGAAAGCGUGGGGAGCAAACAGG